rnacentral:rRNA from 1 species
GCAUAUCAAUAAGCGGAGGAAAAGAAACCAACAGGGAUUGCCUCAGUAGCGGCGAGUGAAGCGGCAAGAGCUCAGAUUUGAAAUCGUGCUUUGCGGCACGAGUUGUAGAUUGCAGGUUGGAGUCUGUGUGGAAGGCGGUGUCCAAGUCCCUUGGAACAGGGCGCCCAGGAGGGUGAGAGCCCCGUGGGAUGCCGGCGGAAGCAGUGAGGCCCUUCUGACGAGUCGAGUUGUUUGGGAAUGCAGCUCCAAGCGGGUGGUAAAUUCCAUCUAAGGCUAAAUACUGGCGAGAGGCCGAUAGCGAACAAGUACUGUGAAGGAAAGAUGAAAAGCACUUUGAAAAGAGAGUGAAACAGCACGUGAAAUUGUUGAAAGGGAAGGGUAUUGCGCCCGACAUGGGGAUUGCGCACCGCUGCCUCUCGUGGGCGGCGCUCUGGGCUUUCCCUGGACCAGCAUCGGUUCUUGCUGCAGGAGAAGGGGUUCUGGAACGUGGCUCUUCGGAGUGUUAUAGCCAGGGCCAGAUGCUGCGUGCGGGGACCGAGGACUGCGGCCGUGUAGGUCACGGAUGCUGGCAGAACGGCGCAACACCGCCCGUCUUGAAACACGGACC